GACGUAGGGCGCAAGCGUUGUCCGGAUUUAUUGGGCGUAAAGAGCUCGUAGGCGGUCUGUCGCGUCUGCUGUGAAAACUCGGGGCUUAACCCCGGGCCUGCAGUGGGUACGGGCAGACGUAGAGUGCGGUAGGGGAGACUGGAAUUCCGUGGUGUAGCGGUGAAAUGCGCAGAUAUCGAGGAGGAACACCGGUGGCGAAGGCGGGUCUCUGGGCCGUAACUGACGC
rnacentral:rRNA from 1 species